GCCAAGAGACCUCUUAUUUUUAUCAUUUAGAAUCAACCUCAGAUACAGCACUUUACAAAUACACUGUUUAAUGUAAUACUACAACAAAUAAAAAGGGCUUUUCAUUGCCUUUUCCCUCUCUUACAGUUCUGCAGCCUCCUUUUUGCUUAUUCAACACUCAACUCCUUUUUAUGAAGUGCUGGGCACUGUGGAUAUCUUGAGGAUACAAAGGGAGAAGGCAUCAGGUUGGCUAAGCUUAGGCCAUGUGUCCACCAUUGGCCAGAAGAAGAUAGGUACCACUAUUGACUAUAUCCUGUAAAAAAGAAGUGUUUAUCCAAACCACAUUUGGAAUGCCGUGAUCACAAAAAGGGAGAAAAGAUACUGAGCUGCCAAAAUAAAAUUGUCCACUAUAGGAGUCACUCUUCUUGCUGGAUGAGUUCUCAGAGUCCCAGUCUUGUGGAUUCCUAGUCUAUACCUUUUCUCUGUGCUUAACUGGAUGAAGUUUCAGCAUGCCUUCUAAUUGGUUCCACAUGGUUUCGAAAGCUCUCAAUAUAUGAAUACCAGGAGUCUUUGAAAUAUAAUUCUCCAAUAAGAAGUAAGCAUAAAUAAUGGAAAAGAAUCUAUUUUUCUCCAGAAUGGUAGAUUUCUAAAUACUAGAAAUGUAAAUAACAAUGAGAACCCACAAAGAAACCUCUUUUUUAUUAAAAAAAAAAAAAAGAAAAAAACAACCCUGUAUAGUCAUAUCAUUUAGAGCAACUCCUUAAGGAAAAAAAGUCAUGCCCUGUGCCUUUCCCAGCACUCAAUAGUUAGCCAAAAUAUUAACUAAUAAUCCCUCUGUCUAUUGCGCUCAGAAUCAUUUUUUUUAUUUUAUUAUUUUACAGUGAUAAAUAUUUGUUUUAUUUAAAAUUAUAAAUACAGGGGUGCCUAGGUGGCUCAGUCAGUUAAGCAUCUGCCUUCAGCUCAGGUCAUGAUCCCAAGGUCCUGGCAUCAAGUCCCACAUCAGGCUCCCUGCUCAGAGGGGAGUCUGCUUUUCCCUCUCCCUCUGUCCUUGCCCCCAACUUGAGCUCUCUCACUCUCACUCUCACUUUCCCUCAAAUAAAUAAAUAAAAUCUUUAAAAAACAAAAUAAUAUAAAAUAAAAUUACAAAUACAGAAC
rnacentral:lncRNA from 1 species